GUCCACGCUGUAAACGUUGGGCGCUAGGUGUGGGGUCCUUCCACGGAUUCCGUGCCGCAGCUAACGCAUUAAGCGCCCCGCCUGGGGAGUACGGCCGCAAGGCUAAAACUCAAAGGAAUUGACGGGGGCCCGCACAAGCGGCGGAGCAUGUUGCUUAAUUCGACGCGACGCGAAGAACCUUACCAAGGUUUGACAUGCAGGGAAAAGCCGUAGAGAUACGGUGUCCGUAAGGGCCCUGCACAGGUGGUGCAUGGCUGUCGU
rnacentral:rRNA from 1 species